rnacentral:rRNA from 1 species
UUGGCCUCAAAUCAGGUAGGACUACCCGCUGAACUUAAGCAUAUCAAUAAGCGGAGGAAAAGAAACUAACAAGGAUUCCCUUAGUAACUGCGAGUGAAGAGGGAAGAGCUCAAAUUUAAAAUCUGACAGUGUCUUGCUGUCCGAGUUGUAAUCUAGAGAAGUGCUGCCCGUGCUGGACCAUGUACAAGUCUCCUGGAAUGGAGCGUCACAGAGGGUGAGAAUCCCGUCUUUGACAUGGACUGCCAGUGCAUUUGUGGUGUGCUCUCAAAGAGUCGAGUUGUUUGGGAAUGCAGCUCUAAAUGGGUGGUAAACUCCAUCUAAAGCUA